rnacentral:rRNA from 1 species
AUGCUCAUAGUCUGCCCUAAUGCCUAGAGGCCUUGAACAAGCCUCUUCAAUGCUAGUAACUACCGCCCCACUACCUGCUGUAAUAGCUGUAACGACUGUAACUACCGUAACAGCUGAAACUGUUGUAACGGCUGCCUCUCCAACUGCUGCCUACCCCUUGGCCUGCUGGCCGGCUGGGGCUGUCUGCCCCCUUGCACCUGCUGCUGGCUGCCAGGUUGAGUGGCGUUCUGCCUGGAUGGAUGGCGGGACAUCACACUAUGCUCUGUAUACAUUAGCAUGGGAUAAAAUUAUAGGAUUUCGGUCAUAUUACGUUGGCCUUCAGGAUCGGAGUAAUGAUUAACAAGGACAGUCAGGGGCAUUCGUAUUUCAUAGUCAGAGGUGAAAUUCUUGGAUUUAUGAAAGAUGAACAACUGCGAAAGCAUUUGCCAAGAAUAUUUUCAUUAACCAAGAACGAAAUUUGGGGGCUCGAAGAUGAUCAGAUACCGUCCUAGUCUCAACCAUAAAUGAUGUCGACUAGGGAUGGACGGAUGUUGCAUUUAGGACUCUGUCGCCACCUUAUGAGAAAUCAAAGUUUUUAGGUU